GAUGAACGCUAGCUACAGGCUUAACACAUGCAAGUCGAGGGGAAACGAUAGAGAAAGCUUGCUUUUUCUAGGCGUCGACCGGCGCACGGGUGAGUAACGCGUAUCCAACCUGCCCAUCACUUGGGGAUAACCUUGCGAAAGUAAGACUAAUACCCAAUGACGUCUCUAGAAGACAUCUGAAGGAGAUUAAAGAUUUAUCGGUGCUGGAUGGGGAUGCGUCUGAUUAGCUUUUUGGCGGGGUAACGGCCCACCAAGGCGACGAUCAGUAGGGGUUCUGAGAGGAAGGUCCCCCACAUUGGAACUGAGACACGGUCCAAACUCCUACGGGAGGCAGCAGUGAGGAAUAUUGGUCAAUGGGCGAGAGCCUGAACCAGCCAAGUAGCGUGCAGGAUGACGGCCCUAUGGGUUGUAAACUGCUUUUAUAAGGGAAUAAAGUGGGAGUCGUGACUCCUUUUGCAUGUACCUUAUGAAUAAGGACCGGCUAAUUCCGUGCCAGCCGCCGCAGUAA
rnacentral:rRNA from 1 species